rnacentral:rRNA from 1 species
UUAAGCGACUAAGCGUACACGGUGGAUGCCCUGGCAGUCAGAGGCGAUGAAGGACGUGCUAAUCUGCGAUAAGCGUCGGUAAGGUGAUAUGAACCGUUAUAACCGGCGAUUUCCGAAUGGGGAAACCCAGUGUGUUUCGACACACUAUCAUUAACUGAAUCCAUAGGUUAAUGAGGCGAACCGGGGGAACUGAAACAUCUAAGUACCCCGAGGAAAAGAAAUCAACCGAGAUUCCCCCAGUAGCGGCGAGCGAACGGGGAGCAGCCCAGAGCCUGAAUCAGUGUGUGUGUUAGUGGAAGCGUCUGGAAAGGCGCGCGAUACAGGGUGACAGCCCCGUACACAAAAAUGCACAUGCUGUGAGCUCGAUGAGUAGGGCGGGACACGUGGUAUCCUGUCUGAAUAUGGGGGGACCAUCCUCCAAGGCUAAAUACUCCUGACUGACCGAUAGUGAACCAGUACCGUGAGGGAAAGGCGAAAAGAACCCCGGCGAGGGGAGUGAAAAAGAACCUGAAACCGUGUACGUACAAGCAGUGGGAGCACGCUUCGGCGUGUGACUGCGUACCUUUUGUAUAAUGGGUCAGCGACUUAUAUUCUGUAGCAAGGUUAACCGAAUAGGGGAGCCGAAGGGAAACCGAGUCUUAACUGGGCGUUAAGUUGCAGGGUAUAGACCCGAAACCCGGUGAUCUAGCCAUGGGCAGGUUGAAGGUUGGGUAACACUAACUGGAGGACCGAACCGACUAAUGUUGAAAAAUUAGCGGAUGACUUGUGGCUGGGGGUGAAAGGCCAAUCAAACCGGGAGAUAGCUGGUUCUCCCCGAAAGCUAUUUAGGUAGCGCCUCGUGAAUUCAUCUCCGGGGGUAGAGCACUGUUUCGGCAAGGGGGUCAUCCCGACUUACCAACCCGAUGCAAACUGCGAAUACCGGAGAAUGUUAUCACGGGAGACACACGGCGGGUGCUAACGUCCGUCGUGAAGAGGGAAACAACCCAGACCGCCAGCUAAGGUCCCAAAGUCAUGGUUAAGUGGGAAACGAUGUGGGAAGGCCCAGACAGCCAGGAUGUUGGCUUAGAAGCAGCCAUCAUUUAAAGAAAGCGUAAUAGCUCACUGGUCGAGUCGGCCUGCGCGGAAGAUGUAACGGGGCUAAACCAUGCACCGAAGCUGCGGCAGCGACGCUUAUGCGUUGUUGGGUAGGGGAGCGUUCUGUAAGCCUGUGAAGGUGUGCUGUGAGGCAUGCUGGAGGUAUCAGAAGUGCGAAUGCUGACAUAAGUAACGAUAAAGCGGGUGAAAAGCCCGCUCGCCGGAAGACCAAGGGUUCCUGUCCAACGUUAAUCGGGGCAGGGUGAGUCGACCCCUAAGGCGAGGCCGAAAGGCGUAGUCGAUGGGAAACAGGUUAAUAUUCCUGUACUUGGUGUUACUGCGAAGGGGGGACGGAGAAGGCUAUGUUGGCCGGGCGACGGUUGUCCCGGUUUAAGCGUGUAGGCUGGUUUUCCAGGCAAAUCCGGAAAAUCAAGGCUGAGGCGUGAUGACGAGGCACUACGGUGCUGAAGCAACAAAUGCCCUGCUUCCAGGAAAAGCCUCUAAGCAUCAGGUAACAUCAAAUCGUACCCCAAACCGACACAGGUGGUCAGGUAGAGAAUACCAAGGCGCUUGAGAGAACUCGGGUGAAGGAACUAGGCAAAAUGGUGCCGUAACUUCGGGAGAAGGCACGCUGAUAUGUAGGUGAGGUCCCUCGCGGAUGGAGCUGAAAUCAGUCGAAGAUACCAGCUGGCUGCAACUGUUUAUUAAAAACACAGCACUGUGCAAACACGAAAGUGGACGUAUACGGUGUGACGCCUGCCCGGUGCCGGAAGGUUAAUUGAUGGGGUUAGCGGUAACGCGAAGCUCUUGAUCGAAGCCCCGGUAAACGGCGGCCGUAACUAUAACGGUCCUAAGGUAGCGAAAUUCCUUGUCGGGUAAGUUCCGACCUGCACGAAUGGCGUAAUGAUGGCCAGGCUGUCUCCACCCGAGACUCAGUGAAAUUGAACUCGCUGUGAAGAUGCAGUGUACCCGCGGCAAGACGGAAAGACCCCGUGAACCUUUACUAUAGCUUGACACUGAACAUUGAGCCUUGAUGUGUAGGAUAGGUGGGAGGCUUUGAAGUGUGGACGCCAGUCUGCAUGGAGCCGACCUUGAAAUACCACCCUUUAAUGUUUGAUGUUCUAACGUUGACCCGUAAUCCGGGUUGCGGACAGUGUCUGGUGGGUAGUUUGACUGGGGCGGUCUCCUCCUAAAGAGUAACGGAGGAGCACGAAGGUUGGCUAAUCCUGGUCGGACAUCAGGAGGUUAGUGCAAUGGCAUAAGCCAGCUUGACUGCGAGCGUGACGGCGCGAGCAGGUGCGAAAGCAGGUCAUAGUGAUCCGGUGGUUCUGAAUGGAAGGGCCAUCGCUCAACGGAUAAAAGGUACUCCGGGGAUAACAGGCUGAUACCGCCCAAGAGUUCAUAUCGACGGCGGUGUUUGGCACCUCGAUGUCGGCUCAUCACAUCCUGGGGCUGAAGUAGGUCCCAAGGGUAUGGCUGUUCGCCAUUUAAAGUGGUACGCGAGCUGGGUUUAGAACGUCGUGAGACAGUUCGGUCCCUAUCUGCCGUGGGCGCUGGAGAACUGAGGGGGGCUGCUCCUAGUACGAGAGGACCGGAGUGGACGCAUCACUGGUGUUCGGGUUGUCAUGCCAAUGGCACUGCCCGGUAGCUAAAUGCGGAAGAGAUAAGUGCUGAAAGCAUCUAAGCACGAAACUUGCCCCGAGAUGAGUUCUCCCUGACUCCUUGAGAGUCCUGAAGGAACGUUGAAGACGACGACGUUGAUAGGCCGGGUGUGUAAGCGCAGCGAUGCGUUGAGCUAACCGGUACUAAUGAACCGUGAGGCUUAACCUU